GACGAACGCUGGCGGCGUGCUUAACACAUGCAAGUCGAACGAUGAAGCCGGAGCUUGCUCUGGUGAAUUAGUGGCGAACGGGUGAGUAACACGUGAGUAACCUGCCCUUGACUCUGGGAUAACUGCGGGAAACUGUAGCUAAUACCGGAUACGACCCUCGGAGGCAUCUCCUGGGGGUGGAAAGAAUUUCGGCCAAGGAUGGACUCGCGGCCUAUCAGCGAGUUGGGGAGGUAAAGGCUCACCAAGGCGACGACGGGUAGCCGGCCUGAGAGGAUGACCGGCCACACUGGGACUGAGACACGGCCCAGACUCCUACGGGAGGCAGCAGUGGGGAAUAUUGCACAAUGGGCGCAAGCCUGAUGCAGCAACGCCGCGUGAGGGAUGACGGCCUUCGGGUUGUAAACCUCUUUUAGUAGGGAAGAAGCGAAAGUGACGGUACCUGCAGAAAAGGCACCGGCUAACUACGUGCCAGCCGCCGCCGUAA
rnacentral:rRNA from 1 species